rnacentral:rRNA from 1 species
UACGAAGGGGGCUAGCGUUGUUCGGAUUUAUUGGGCGUAAAGAGCGCGUAGGCGGCUUGUUAAGUUGGGAGUGAAAUCCCGGAGCUCAACUCCGGAAUAGCUUUCAAGACUGGCAGGCUAGAGAUCAGUAGGGGAUAGUGGAAUUCCUAGUGUAGAGGUGAAAUUCGUAGAUAUUAGGAGGAACACCAGAGGCGAAGGCGGCUAUCUGGGCUGAAUCUGACGCUGAGGUGCGAAAGCGUGGGGAGCAAAC